UCACUGUUGGAAUCUCCAUUGCUAUGCUGUCCUUCAUCAGUUCCCACAUUUAGUCUGCAAGGACCAGGUUUAGUUUCUUCCUUCUCUAGGGUGCUAUUCAUACCUUCUUUUUUAUCCCGCUUCUUCAAAAACUUAAAUUCCUUUCCAAGACCUCAGGUUGGUUCGAGUUUGAGGCGUAUCAGAAUGCUUUAACCACCUCAGAUCCAAUAGUUCGGGUUUGUCCUUACAAAUGGAGUGGAUGGUGGAGAUUGGAUCGUAUCCCAAAUACUUUAACUAACUUAGAUCUGAUGGUAGGGAGUUGAUCUUGCCAAUCAAGAGUCAUGACUCAAAAUAACUUCUGAACUCCUGGUUUCCCAAACCUUCCAAUCUUUAUUGGCCAUUUCUCGGUCAACCCGAUCUCUGUGCCUUGUUCGCCCACCCGAUCUCUCAUCAUGGUUGGCGACUUUGAGACCUUCUCACCUGACCUCUCAUACUGACCCUUUUCAUGCCCGAUCUCUUCUUGCUUCUCCACUCUCUUUUCUACCCGUCCCUGUAUUUGGUCUGUGUCGAUGAACAUCGAAUAUUGGGGAAGCAUUAAAUUCUCCACUUACCGAUGAACCGCUUUGAGUUCUAUGAGCAUUAAAUACCUAGGCCUAUAAAUACUUGGGGGUAGUAGGCUGUCAUCCUCACAUUUCCACCUUCCUUCUCCGAUCAAUUUCUGACGUGUUCUUCCACCAUGCCUUACAUCUCCAGCACUGAUUUUCAACAUGACGACCGCUUUGAUCUUUUUCCGAUAACCUCCUUUGCCUGACACCUGAAAAUGGACGACACCGAUGGUCAAAGAAUUACGAGAAUGUCAUCUGAUGAUGGUGAGGGAACCGGACUAAAUUGCCGAUCCGAGUCCAAAAUGACUACCAUUCUGAUCUCUAAUCGGCCUAUCGGUCUGAGCCAAAGACCAAUCUCGGGCAAGGAGACUGCUAAUUUCAAUCUUGAUAUCGAUUACCGCCUCUUGAAGUUCAU
rnacentral:misc_RNA from 1 species